rnacentral:rRNA from 1 species
CGAACGCUGGCGGCGUGCUUAACACAUGCAAGUCGAGCGGGGAUUAAUUGUGGAAGGUUUCGGCUGGAAGCGAUUAAUUCUAGCGGCGGACGGGUGAGUAACGCGUGAGCAAUCUGUCCAUACAGGGGGAUAACACUUGGAAACAGGUGCUAAUACCGCAUAAGACCACGAGGUCGCAUGGCCAUGAGGUAAAAGAUUUAUCGGUAUGGGGUGAGCUCGCGUCCCAUUAGCUAGUUGGUGAGGUAACGGCCCACCAAGGCGACGAUGGGUAGCCGACCUGAGAGGGUGAUCGGCCACAUUGGAACUGAGACACGGUCCAGACUCCUACGGGAGGCAGCAGUGGGGAAUAUUGGGCAAUGGGCGCAAGCCUGACCCAGCAACGCCGCGUGAAGGAAGAAGGUUUUCGGAUUGUAAACUUCUGUCCUUGGUGACGAAGAAAAUGACGGUAGCCAAGGAGGAAGCCCCGGCUAACUACGUGCCAGCAGCCGCGGUAAUACGUAGGGGGCGAGCGUUGUCCGGAAUGACUGGGCGUAAAGGGCGUGUAGGCGGCUUUUUAAGUGUGAAGUGAAAGUCCUGCUUUCAAGGUGGGAACUGCUUUGCAAACUGGAGAGCUUGAGUGCGGAAGAGGUAAGUGGAAUUCCCAGUGUAGCGGUGAAAUGCGUAGAGAUUGGGAGGAACACCAGUGGCGAAGGCGACUUACUGGGCCGUAACUGACGCUGAGGCGCGAAAGCGUGGGGAGCGAACAGGAUUAGAUACCCUGGUAGUCCACGCUGUAAACGAUGAAUGCUAAGUGUAGCGGGUAUCGACCCCUGCUGUGCCGCAGUAACACAAUAAGCAUUCCGCCUGGG